CACGCAGUAGAUGACCCUCCCGUCGCUCCUGAAGGGCUGGUCUUGGAGACGAAGGAUCAUUCCGACAGAGAACAGAAGGAUGGCAAUGAGUUUACAAAUGGGAAAUCCACAACAUUGGUCAAGAAGAAAAGGCACCAUGAAUGGGAAGACCGAAGUGUAGACGACUAGCUGGAACAAGGGUGAAAAUAUAGGAGAUGACGAUCCAUUCCUGGGUGGACGGCCAGCGUUCCAUCUUCACUAACACGAUAUAGUUGAAGAGCAUCAGGUAUCCGAUAUACGCCAGCUGUAAGGAAAUACAAUACAGUGGUCUGGCUGUUCAGGCCCAGGAGCCUCAGCGUCAGCCACGGCCACUGCACAGCAGCACAGAACAAGGCCCAGUGACAUGCACAUUCUUCCAGAACUUCUGCAUUUUAGUACCCACUUCACACCUUGAAUUUGAAUCCUCUCCAGCCGGAUACCUGAAAUAGGCUCUCAACACAAGCAGGGUCGAGGAGCCAGCUGGACCCCUGCCUGCUUUCUUCUCGGACCAGAAGAGGACCCAACCUACUCCUAGAGAAACUUGCUACAAUGCAGAAGUGAGGUUACAUGGAAAUGAGGUGUGUCCUACCUUUCAGAAACUUGGGAGAGUAGGACACACCAUUUUUGGAAAUCUGGUGAGAAAUACUCUUACAGAGAAAAACACAGCCCAAAGUAAAGUACAUGGGACCUUCAAUCUGAAACUGAAUUGUAUUGUUAGGCAUGUCUGGUGAUUCAAAAGACUGGCAUACCUCAUUUCCGAUCACUUCCUCGAGGCCUGGGCUUUGUCAAUACGUGAAGAUGAAUUUUGGAGAAUCAUGAAAACACAACUGAACGGAUCUGGGGGAUCCAGUCUGAUGGGUUUACUGAGGCCAACUUAGCCAUGCAGAAGAGUGCUGGACACACAGGCCCCACCCCCCCCCCAAAGAGGCAGCCUCCCAACAAGCUGCCAAUGACAUAAGCAAAGCAGCGUGUCUCAAGCAUCUCUAAUCACAAGUUUCGAUCACAAGUUUCGCCUGGGAAGCUAGUUAAACUAACACAGCCUCUUAGGCUCCUUCAUGAAGAUUUGAUUCCAUGGGUCUAUGAUGGGGCUAGAAAUUUGCAUUUCUAACAAAACGCCCUUGUCAUCAUGGAAGUUUUAGAAAUGUUGAUACUAUUACGUCUACUGAUUUCUCCUCUCAGCAGUCUGUAAACUUUUUCUGCAAAUGGCCAACUGGUUAACAACUUUUAAGGCUUUGUAGACCUGAUAGUCUCUCUCUGUCUCUCACCACUCAUUAACUCGAUGUGGUAGCACAAAAGCAGGCAGCCUACUGGUAAUGUUAAAUGAGGUUUAGCCUAAAGCUGCCUCCUUACAUAUUUUAAGUUCGGCCUAAAGUUUUCUCUGUACAUUGUGAACUAUAACAAAUGAAGGUGUAACAAGACCAAUCACUGAAUUUCAGUCAAUCAAAUGUAGCCACCUGCUCAAAAUGUGUUCAAAUAAGGCAAAUGCUGAGCUGUAACCAAUCCAGCUGUUUGUGUACGUCACUUCCGUUUUCUGUAUGCCACUUCCCUUUUUCUGUCCAUAAUUCUUCCACCACGUGGCCCUGCUGGAGUCUCUGAGCCUCCUCUGGCUUGGAAGGCUGUCCCAUUCACGAAUUGUUCAUUGCUCAAUUAAAUUCCUUUAACAGAAAUUAAGAGUCUGCCUGUGCUCCAAUUAUUUAUGGACACUACAAUUUGAAUAUAUGUCUCAAGUAUUCCUUUUCAAAUUUUAUUUUGACCCUUUAAAAAUGUAAAAACCAUUCUUAGUUUGUAGGCCACAGUCAUAGGCCAUGGGUUGAAUUGGGCCUGAGAGCUGUAGUUUGCCAAGCGCUGUUCUAAGCUAACAGUUGGGGUAUCAUAAUAUUAAAGGAAGGACAGACCUGGGUGUAAAAUAGCUUCAAAAAUAUUAUCUUAGGCUGGGUGCAGUGGCUAUCGCCUAUAAUCCCAGCACUUUGGGAGGCUGACGCAGGCCCAUAGUUCG